GAACAGAACACAAUCUUCAUCAUCACACAAGACACAACAACAACAAUGAACAACAUCAUCAUCCUCAUCUGGACCAUUGGGGUUUUUAUUCAAGCCUCCAGAGGAGUCACUGUGACUCAGCCUAAAGUUAAAACUGUCCAGCUCGGUCAAACAGCUACAAUAGAGUGUAGGACAGAUCCAGGAAUAUACAGCAGCUACUUAGCCUGGUAUCAGCAGAAACCUGGAGAAGCUCCUAAACUCCUCAUUUAUGCCAUAAACACCCUUCAGUCAGGAACUCCAUCUAGAUUCAGUGGCAGUGGAUCUAGCCAAGGAAAAGAUUUCUCUCUGACCAUCAGAGGAGUCCAGACUGAAGAUACAGGAGAUUAUUACUGUCAGAGUUACCAUGAGAUCAACAGUAAACCUGUGUUCACACAGUGAUAAAGAGUCGUACAAAAACCUCCGUCAGUCAGAGUCACAGUGACUGCACUGAUACAGCUGAGAGACACUGCAGCUUGAGGAGAUACACUUUGUA